GAUGGCGAUGGCGGCGGCGGCGGCGGCCCGCGAGGAAGGCGCCUGCUCCGUGCACUGGUUCCGCAAGGGGCUGCGGCUCCACGACAACCCGGCGCUGCUGGCGGCCGUGCGCGGGGCGCAGUGCGUGCGCUGCGUGUACAUCCUGGACCCCUGGUUCGCGGCCUCCUCCUCCGUGGGGAUCAACCGCUGGAGGUUCCUGCUUCAGUCUCUGGAAGAUUUGGACACAAGUCUGAGGAAACUGAACUCCCGCCUGUUUGUCGUCCGGGGACAGCCGGCUGACGUGUUCCCAAGGCUCUUCAAGGAAUGGGGGGUGACCCGCUUGACCUUUGAAUAUGACUCGGAGCCCUUUGGGAAAGAGCGGGACGCAGCCAUCAUGAAGAUGGCCAGGGAGGCUGGCGUGGAGGUGGUGACUGAGAACUCUCAUACCCUCUAUGACCUGGACAAGAUCAUUGAGCUGAAUGGGCAGAAGCCACCCCUUACCUACAAGCGCUUUCAGGCCAUCGUCAGCCGCAUGGAGCUGCCCAGGAAGCCCGUGGGUUCUGUGACCGGCCGGCAGAUGGAGGGCUGUAGGGCCGACAUCCAGGAGAACCACGACGAGACCUACGGCGUGCCCUCCCUGGAGGAGCUGGGGUUCCCCACUGAAGGACUCGGCCCAGCUGUUUGGCAAGGAGGAGAGACAGAGGCUCUGGCCCGCCUGGAUAAGCACCUGGAACGGAAGGCCUGGGUGGCCAACUAUGAGAGACCCCGGAUGAACGCCAACUCCCUGCUGGCCAGCCCCACGGGCCUCAGCCCCUACCUGCGCUUCGGCUGCCUCUCCUGCCGCCUUUUCUACUACCGCCUCUGGGACCUGUACAGAAAGGUGAAGCGGAACAGCACGCCCCCGCUGUCCCUGUUUGGGCAGCUCCUGUGGCGCGAGUUCUUUUACACGGCGGCCACCAACAACCCCAGGUUUGACCGCAUGGAGGGGAACCCCAUCUGCAUCCAGAUCCCCUGGGACCGCAACCCCGAGGCCCUGGCCAAGUGGGCCGAGGGCAAGACCGGCUUUCCGUGGAUUGACGCCAUCAUGACCCAGCUGAGGCAGGAGGGCUGGAUCCACCACCUGGCCCGGCACGCCGCGGCCUGCUUCCUCACGCGCGGGGACCUCUGGCUCAGCUGGGAAAGCGGGGUCCGGGUGUUUGAUGAGCUGCUGCUGGAUGCAGAUUUCAGCGUGAACGCGGGCAGCUGGAUGUGGUUGUCCUGCAGCGCUUUCUUCCAGCAGUUCUUCCACUGCUACUGCCCGGUGGGCUUCGGCCGCCGCACGGACCCCAGUGGAGACUACAUCAGGCGAUACCUGCCCAAACUGAAAGGGUUCCCCUCUCGAUACAUCUACGAGCCGUGGAAUGCUCCAGAGUCAGUUCAGAAGGCAGCCAAGUGCAUCAUUGGUGUGGACUACCCACAGCCCAUCGUCAACCAUGCCGAGACCAGCCGGCUCAACAUUGAGCGGAUGAAGCAGAUUUACCAGCAGCUCUCCCGCUACAGGGGACUCUGUCUGCUGGCAUCUGUCCCUUCCUGUGUGGAAGACCUCAGCAACCCAGUGGCAGAGGUCAGCUCGAGCCAGGCUGGGAGCGUGAGCAGUGCAGGCCCAAGACCACUGCCCAGUGGCCCAGCGUCCCCAAAGCGCAAGCUGGCAGCAGCCGAGGAGCCACCUGGUGAAGAACUCAGCAAGCGGGCCAGGGUGGCGGAGUCGCCCCCCGCAGAGCUGCCGAGCAGGGAUGUCUGAAGGGACACCAGUCAUUUGGGAUCUGGGCCCACACGAAGCACCUGGUUAUAACUUCAUUACCUCGUUAAAGGCCAUAUCUCCAGAAACAGUCAUGGGGGCUAGGGCUUCGUUGUGUGAAUUUGGGGGGACUCAACUCGGCCCCCACACAGGAGCGUGGCUUCUCACCGCCUCGCCGUUACCCGCCUGCCCGUCACUUAAAAGCUGCAGUGCCGCGGCUCUGUGAGCAAAGCCUGGGUGCCCGAGCAGCCGCUGUGGCAGCAGAGUGCAACCUGCAGGACAGCUAAUCACCUACAGAGACGGAGCAAGCGUGUGUGCGUGUGUGCGCGUGUGCAGAGGAAGGAGUGGCCCGCCUGUUUGCGUGUGCCUGCGUCUGUUUACACUGCUGUGAUUCUGGACGCUGCCCGGGCUGGAGGAGUACCUGCAGCCGCUUCGCCUCAGCCUCCGGACACCAGGCUGGAGCUCCUGGCAGUGACUUCCACGCCAGGCCUGUCCCUGCCAGUCAGCUGCCUUGUCUGGGUAGAGGAGUGGUGGGACCUUAGCUGGGGUUCUGGCCUCUGCCCCCCACCCAAUCCCGCUCCCUCCUCACGUCAGACUGAGCAGGAGGUGGGGAAGCCUUUCUGGCUCUAGUCCAGAGCAUGGGAUUCUAGAGGCAGCUAGGGUUCUGCUGAGUUCCUGCUUCAUGACCCUGGGGGCUGGGCAGGCUGAGUGGAUGGGUGUGUCCAGACAUAGUCACCUGGCCUGGCUUCUCAUUUUAAAAUUUCCUGCCACUGGGUUCUCAAGACUCUUCCUUGGGGAGCUGGGACGAGCAUGUGGACAGAUCUGGAAACUUCCUGGCAUCAUGUAGAAGUACACCCAGGUACCUGACCGGAGUGUUGUAUGCACAGCAGCAUAGAUAAUAGCUGAGAAGAACAUCUCCCUCUGCGGGGCUGAAAACCUGAGGUUAGAAGUAGAAUCCCAGCUCUCACUGCUCCUUCCCCAGAAGCUGAGAGCCAGCCUCAGGGCUGACUGGACACUCAGUCCCUCCACCAGGAGGAGGCCAGGUUCCUGGUGGUAGAAAGCCCGCUGGCUGCCGUGGCCACACCCCGUGGCACGUCAGCACUGCCAGUGAGGUCAGCUCACACCAGCCAGGGAAGCCGUGCUAGUCUGCGCUCUGCGGGCUUCCAUGGCCUGCCCCGGGCUGGUCAGCAUCCAAGCUGCCACCAGUAGCUGGACACGAAGGACCCAGGCAGGUGGACUGCCAAGGACAGUUGGGAAAUGCCCAAGCUGAGAUCCCACCCAGCACGCCAGCCCUUCCAGAAGCAGCAGGUGGGAAGUUUGACCCGCAGAAGCCAAGGCCUUGCAUUCCAGGGCCGCCAGUGCCUCCCGCCUCCUCCCUCCCGCUGGCGGAGGCCUGUGCUGAGAAAGAGGACUGUGUGGUCAGCUGAAGCAAGUCUUCCUUCCACCCCGUGGCCUGCGCUUGAGCCACAGUGUGCGUGUGCGCUCGUGUGUGUGCAGGUGUGUGUGUGUACCUGAGAGGCCAGUUCCUCUUGGGAUCUUUGUCCUCACACGUACAUUAAGCUGGCCUCUGGGCCUUCUCCUCUCUACCUCCCCUGUGACCUUUCCCAGCCUCUGAGCCCUCCACUCCCUUGGCCGCAGCCUGCCCUUCACUGUUCUCUGUCCCAGGACCAGCAGCCUGGGUCAGGCCCCUGCCUCCUACAUCAGUCUAGCACAUCGACAGGCUUCUUCCCUAGAGGUCCUCAGGCUUUCUCAGCCAGAGAGCUGCCUUUAGAGUCCAACUGUUGUGUGUCUGUCACCCUCACUAGAGAUGCCCCGUAAUCGUGGAGGGGGCAGCCGGGCACCAGUGAUGGCUUUUUAUGCAGCAUUGGGUGGGGGGCUCCACUGUUCCCGUAGCCCCAGACAGGAGGAAAGGGAAUCGAGGGCUAUUGCCAGCGGAAAAGUACAGUGAGCCUGGAAGGGCUGGUCUGAGAAACGAGAAAGCCAGAGGGCUUAGGGCCGGAGUCAGCGUUUACUUAGCAGCACCUUCGCAUGUCAGGGUGACCCCCUCUUCAUGCCUGUUUGAUGACGGCUCUCUUCCCUAACGUACCAGUUGGCAGGACCACCUCCCCCUACUUCUCCACCAUCCGUGGCAUGCUGGCCCGUUCCCGGUGGCCUGGGGCGGUCCCCUCCUGGAGCUGGGAGGGGUGAGCUGAGGAGAGGGUGCGUGCAGUGGCCGGGAGCUCCCUGGUGGCUUCGUGCCUCCCCUCUCCUGGCCCAGGUGGCCCCGGGGGCUGCUGCAGAGUCCUGACCCACGGGCCAGCGUGGGGAGGAGAUGGUCACAGGCCAGACGCACUUUAUACAGAGAGUUUCUAUUGCUGGGAAGAUGUGUUUCUCCCACAGUUUGUUUGCGAAUAUUCACGUGUUUCAUAAAUGUCUGAUCCUCU